rnacentral:pre_miRNA from 1 species
AAUGCAAUUGCUGGAUUAUAUGGUAAGUAUAUGUUUAGUUUUUUAAGAAACUGCCCGACUAUUUUCCAGAGGAACUGUACCAUUUUACAUUCCCACCAGCAAU